AGUGUAACCGCUGUCUGCCUGG
rnacentral:misc_RNA from 1 species